GGUUCCAUAGCUCAACUGGAUAGAGCACCUCACUACGGAUGAGGAGGUUUGGGGUUCGACUCCCUAUGGUACCA
rnacentral:tRNA from 1 species